AAUGGGCGAAAGCCUGACGGAGCGACACCGCGUGCAGGAUGAAGGCCCUCGGGUUGUAAACUGCUGUCACGCACUAGGAAGCGACGGCGUUAAUAGCGUCGUUGUUGACCAACGCGAGAGGAAGCACCGGCUAACUCCGUGCCAGCAGCCGCGGUAAGACGGAGGGUGCGAACGUUGUUCGGAAUCACUGGGCAUAAAGAGCACGUAGGCGGUUUGCUAAGUCAGAUGUGAAAGCCCCCGGCUCAACCGGGGAAUUGCAUCUGAUACUGGCGAACUCGAGGACGGUAGGGGUGAGUGGAACUCCAGGUGGAGCGGUGAAAUGCGUAGAUAUCUGGAGGAACACCGGUGGCGAAAGCGGCUCACUGGACCGUAUCUGACGCUGAGGUGCGAAAGCUAGGGUAGCGAACGGGAUU
rnacentral:rRNA from 1 species